rfam:Schistosoma mattheei strain Denwood, Zambia genome assembly, scaffold: SMTD_scaffold0008157
AUCCACCUGACGAGUCCUAAAUGGAACGAGACGCGCGUCCUGGAU